rnacentral:rRNA from 1 species
UGAGGAAUUUUGCGCAAUGGGAGCAAUCCUGACGCAGCAACGCCGCGUGGGUGAUGAAGGCCUUCGGGUCGUAAAGCACUUUCAGGUGGGAAGAAUGUCCAGAAACUGAACAGGUUCCGGGAGUGAGGUUCCCACCAGAUAAAGCACCGGCAAACUCCGUGCCAGCAGCCGCGGUAAGACGGAGGGUGCAACCGUUGUUCGGAAUCACUGGGCGUAAAGCGCGUGUAGGCGGUUUGGCAAGUUGGAUGUGAAAGCCCGGGGAUCAACCUCGGAAGUGCAUUCGAAACUGUCAGGCUUGAGUACGGGAGAGGGAAGUGGAAUUCCUGGUGUAGAGGUGAAAUUCGUAGAUAUAAGGAGGAACACCGGUGGCGAAGGCGACUUCCUGGACUGAUACUGACGCUGAGACGCGAAAGCGUGGGGAGCAAACA